rnacentral:tRNA from 2 species
AAAUCUAUAGCUCAAGAGGUAGAGCAUUUCCCUUCUAAGGAAGAGGUUGUAGGUUCAAAUCCUACUGGGUUGA